rnacentral:rRNA from 1 species
AGAGUUUGAUCCUGGCUCAGGAUGAACGCUAGCGGGAGGCCUAACACAUGCAAGUCGAACGGGAUUGGUAGCAAUACCAUGAGAGUGGCGCACGGGUGAGUAACGCGUAUGCAACCUACCUGUAACAGAGGGAUAGCCCAUAGAAAUGUGGAUUAAUAUCUCAUAGUUCUAUUAGAUCGCAUGAUUUGAUAGAUAAAGCUCCGGCGGUUACAGAUGGGCAUGCGUGACAUUAGCUAGUUGGUAAGGUAACGGCUUACCAAGGCUACGAUGUCUAGGGGUUCUGAGAGGAUGAUCCCCCACACUGGUACUGAGACACGGACCAGACUCCUACGGGAGGCAGCAGUGAGGAAUAUUGGUCAAUGGGCGCAAGCCUGAACCAGCCAUCCCGCGUGCAGGAUGACGGCCCUAUGGGUUGUAAACUGCUUUUAUACACCAAGAAAAAUCCCCACGUGUGGGGACCCGACGGUAGUGUAUGAAUAAGCAUCGGCUAACUCCGUGCCAGCAGCCGCGGUAA